GACGAACGCUGGCGGCGUGCCUAACACAUGCAAGUCGAGCGAUCUUCUUCGGAAGAGAGCGGCGGACGGGUGAGUAACGCGUGGGUAACCUGCCUCAUACACAUGGAUAACAUACCGAAAGGUAUGCUAAUACAAGAUGAUAUAAGAGAUUCGCAUGGAUUUCUUAUCAAAGCUUUUGCGGUAUGAGAUGGACCCGCGUCUGAUUAGCUAGUUGGUAAGGUAACGGCUUACCAAGGCGACGAUCAGUAGCCGACCUGAGAGGGUGAUCGGCCACAUUGGAACUGAGACACGGUCCAAACUCCUACGGGAGGCAGCAGUGGGGAAUAUUGCACAAUGGGCGAAAGCCUGAUGCAGCAACGCCGCGUGAGCGAUGAAGGCCUUCGGGUCGUAAAGCUCUGUCCUCAAGGAAGAUAAUGACGGUACUUGAGGAGGAAGCCCCGGCUAACUACGAGCCAGCCGCCGCUGUAACAC
rnacentral:rRNA from 1 species